ACCUGGAUGGCUCAGUUGGUAGAGCAUGUGACUCUUGAUCUCAGAGUUGUGGGUUUGAGCCCCAAGUUGGGUA
rnacentral:tRNA from 1 species